rnacentral:rRNA from 1 species
AGAGUUUGAUCCUGGCUCAGAUUGAACGCUGGCGGCAGGCCUAACACAUGCAAGUCGGACGGUAGCACAGAGAGCUUGCUCUCGGGUGACGAGUGGCGGACGGGUGAGUAAUGUCUGGGGAUCUGCCCGAUAGAGGGGGAUAACCACUGGAAACGGUGGCUAAUACCGCAUAACGUCGCAAGACCAAAGAGGGGGACCUUCGGGCCUCUCACUAUCGGAUGAACCCAGAUGGGAUUAGCUAGUAGGCGGGGUAAUGGCCCACCUAGGCGACGAUCCCUAGCUGGUCUGAGAGGAUGACCAGCCACACUGGAACUGAGACACGGUCCAGACUCCUACGGGAGGCAGCAGUGGGGAAUAUUGCACAAUGGGCGCAAGCCUGAUGCAGCCAUGCCGCGUGUAUGAAGAAGGCCUUCGGGUUGUAAAGUACUUUCAGCGGGGAGGAAGGCGAUGGGGUUAAUAACCUUAUCGAUUGACGUUACCCGCAGAAGAAGCACCGGCUAACUCCGUGCCAGCAGCCGCGGUAAUACGGAGGGUGCAAGCGUUAAUCGGAAUUACUGGGCGUAAAGCGCACGCAGGCGGUCUGUUAAGUCAGAUGUGAAAUCCCCGGGCUUAACCUGGGAACUGCAUUUGAAACUGGCAGGCUUGAGUCUUGUAGAGGGGGGUAGAAUUCCAGGUGUAGCGGUGAAAUGCGUAGAGAUCUGGAGGAAUACCGGUGGCGAAGGCGGCCCCCUGGACAAGACUGACGCUCAGGUGCNAAAGCGUGGGGA